rnacentral:lncRNA from 1 species
CGACAUUCAUGCGACAAUGCAAGAUAGGUGGGGAAAACAGGGGCCAGGCGUAGCAAGGAUGAUGCCUGCGGUCAGUCCUUUUUUUUUCAGGUUGACAAGAGACGCGGGCAAAAUGGAAAAAGAGGUGGUCAUCAGGCGAGCGGCGCCGACGUGCGGGUCGCCGUGAUGUAGCCGGGCUCGCUGACCACCUCGGCGGCGGUGGGUUCGCGGAACCGCACCCAACAUCCGUGCGCCUGCCACAGCGGGUUGGCCGGUCGCGUGUUGGUGUCGUACACGUAUUGCACGCAGCCGGCGUGUGAAGUGCACCCGGCCUCGCAUGCGGCCUGUGUGGCGGCCGAGCCGAGGUAGGUACCCACAGAGGGGUCGGCAAUCCUCUGCGAGAGGGCCUCGUCGGCCAGGUUGGUGCGGAUCGAGUUGACGCCCGUCUGCACGGCAAAGCCCGUCGCCGUGGGUGUCGGUGUCGGCACCACUCCUCCGCCGCCCUCGUAGCGCGCCCGAUAAAUCAGCCAGCCGACGAGAGCGCCCACCAACAGCGCCAACAAGAGGCCGGCGAUGAUCCACGGCGCCGCGCCGAGGCCGCGCUCCACCGGCACUGCCGGAGCGGCCACCACGACAGGUGUCCCUGCCACUGACGCCAUCCAAGUAAUGGGGAUUUCCUUUUUUCUUAUUCCUUCUCUUUUCCCCUAUCUCCCUGUAUGUUUCCCUUUUUUUUCUCUAUUGCGCGUUGUUUUUCCGCUUUCCCUUUUUCCUCGAAAAGAAAUGGAUCUUGAAACUCGGUCGGGGGCUAUGGGUUUGUGCGGGCAGUAGUUGGUCGAGGGCGACAACAAG